CUGAGUUGUAUGAAACACUAGCUAAGAUGGCACCAACAAAAGAAGAAGAGUUAAAGCUGAAAGAUUACAGCGGUGACUUAUCAAAAAUUGAUCCAGCAGAGCGCUUUCUAAAAGACGUCCUUAAUGUUCCCUUUGCCUUCAAGAGAGUGGAUGCAAUGCUUUACAGAGCAAACUUUGAUGCUGAAGUGAAUUAUUUAAAGAAAUCUUUUGGAACUAUGGAGGUAACUAGCUAUGAUGAAUUGAUGAUUACAUCUUAUAGUCUGCAUUUUACAGUACUUCCUCUUAUAUUUUCUUUUUUGUUAGAUUUUUUUGACGCGUUCUUUUUUGUUAGAUAAAUCAAUCAUAAAUGCUUCAUGCUUCACAGAAUAAGCAUCUGACAAUAUUCAAGUUUAUGGUGCAUUGGUUGUUAGCAGUCUUUUUUGAAGUUCAUCCUUUAUUAACUUCUUAGGAUAUGUACCAGUUUGUGUCUAAAUAAUUUAUGACGUACUAAUAUUCAGGCCAAUGUCAAAUAUACAUUUUCAGGCAGCUUGUUCAGACCUAAGAAGCAGCAACCUAUUCUUGAAGUUGCUGGACGCUGUUCUCAAGACCGGGAACCGCAUGAACGACGGCACCAACCGAGGCGAGGCGAGGGCCUUCAAACUCGACACGCUUCUAAAGCUCGCCGACAUCAAGUCAACCGACGGUAAGACGACGCUGCUCCACUUCGUGGUUCAAGAGAUCAUCCGGUCAGAAGGCUUCGACUCCGACCAACCAGAAACCAACAAUCCUGGCACUGGCAGUGCCAGCAAAGAACGGUUCAAGAAGGACGGCCUGAAAGUGCUGGCAGGGCUCAGCAGCGAGCUCUCAAACGUGAGGAAGGCGGCCACGCUGGAGAUGGACACGCUGAGCGGCAACCUGCUGAGGCUGGCGACCGACCUCGAGAAAGUGAGGCUGGUCUUGCAGCUCAGGGAGACGUGUGCCCGUCAGGAAAGCUCCGGCGCGGGGUUCUUCGAGUCGAUGGAUGGUUUUCUUGGAAGGGCGCAGGCGGAGAUCGGGAGCAUGAAGGUGGCGGAGAGGGGCGCGUUGCAGCGUGUGAAGGAGACCACGCAGUACUUCCAUGGUGAUGGCAACAUGGAGGAGCCUUCUCAGCCUCUGAGGGUGUUCAUGGUGGUGACAGAGUUCCUGUUGAUACUGGACCGCGUGUGCCGGGACGUCGGCAGGACGCCGGAGCGGGUGAUGAUGGGGUCCGGCAAGUCGUUCCGCGUCAGCGCCGGCACCUCGGUGCCGCCUCGCCGGUAUGAUUCGCGGACGCUUAGCUCGUCGGACGAGGACAGCUCGUCGUCGUAGAGCAGCAGCUUAGAGGAAUGUCCCUUUUUUUUGGUGGGGUGCACAGGAUAGUGCUAGUGGUGAUUUUGAGGGCGGUGAUUCUUGCACCCUCAGGGCUUAGAAGGGGCCGUUACUUUACUGUGUAAUAGUACUAGAUGUCUACAAAGGUUAAAAAUAUAGCUGUACAAAGACAAAAGUUUUUCUUGAUUCUUACAUAUAUGGGGGGAAUGGGAAAUUGUUCAGCUCACCAUGUUAUUUUACCUGUCUCGUUGCUUCC
rnacentral:lncRNA from 1 species